AACGAACGCUGGCGGCAGGCUUAACACAUGCAAGUCGAGCGCCCCGCAAGGGGAGCGGCAGACGGGUGAGUAACGCGUGGGAAUCUACCCAUCUCUACGGAAUAACGCAUGGAAACGUGUGCUAAUACCGUAUACGUCCUUCGGGAGAAAGAUCUAUCGGAGAUGGAUGAGCCCGCGUUGGAUUAGCUAGUUGGUGGGGUAAAGGCCUACCAAGGCGACGAUCCAUAGCUGGUCUGAGAGGAUGAUCAGCCACACUGGGACUGAGACACGGCCCAGACUCCUACGGGAGGCAGCAGUGGGGAAUAUUGGACAAUGGGCGCAAGCCUGAUCCAGCCAUGCCGCGUGAGUGAUGAAGGCCCUAGGGUUGUAAAGCUCUUUCACCGGUGAAGUUAAUGACGGUAACCGGAGAAGAAGCCCCGGCUAACUUCGUGCCAGCCGCCGCCGUAAGAC
rnacentral:rRNA from 1 species